AGGAUUCCCCUAGUAACUGCGAGUGAAGCGGGAAAAGCUCAAAUUUAAAAUCUGGCGGUCUUUGGCCGUCCGAGUUGUAAUCUAGAGAAGUAAUGCCCGUGCUGGACCGUGUAUAAGUCUCCUGGGAUGGGGCGUCAUAGAGGGUGAGAAUCCCGUCUUUGACACGGACUACCAGUGCAUUGUGGUAUGCUCUCAAAGAGUCGAGUUGUUUGGGAAUGCAGCUCAAAAUGGGUGGUAAAUUCCAUCUAAAGCUAAAUAUUGGCGAGAGACCGAUAGCGAACAAGUACCGUGAGGGAAAGAUGAAAAGAACUUUGGAAAGAGAGUUAAACAGUACGUGAAAUUGCUGAAAGGGAAACGCUUGAAGUCAGUCGCGUUGGCCAGGGAUCAGCCUUGCUUUUGCAUGGUGUACUUUCUGGUUGACGGGUCAGCAUCAAUUUUGACCGCUGGAAAAGGGCCUGGGGAAUGUGGCAGCUUCGGCUGUGUUAUAGCCCCUGGUCGCAUACAGUGGUUGGGAUUGAGGAACUCAGCACGCCGCAAGGCCGGGUUUCGACCACGUUCGUGCUUAGGAUGCUGGCAUAAUGGCUUUAAGCGACCCGUCUUGAAACACGGACCAAGGAGUCUAACAUGCCUGCGAGUAUUUGGGUGGAAAACCCGAGUGCGCAAUGAAAGUGAAAGUUGAGAUCCCUGUCGUGGGGAGCAUCGACGCCCGGACCAGAACUUUUGGGACGGAUCCGCGGUGGAGCAUGUAUGUUGGGACCCGAAAGAUGGUGAACUAUGCCUGAAUAGGGUGAAGCCAGAGGAAACUCUGGUGGAGGCUCGUAGCGAUUCUGACGUGCAAAUCGAUCGUCAAAUUUGGGUAUAGGGGCGAAAGACUAAUCGACCA
rnacentral:rRNA from 1 species